UUUACAGUUUUUACCAUUAUUUUUAUAUUACAUUUGUAUAUUUAUUUAAAGUUUUUUCAUAAAACUGUAAGAGAGCGCUGGAGGGGCUAAGAAAGGGAUGAGCCUCACAGGGAAGGGCGAGGAUUUCCUUUUGCAAUCCAUCCGCAGCCCACUUACGUACUAGUUAAUCUAUACAUCAGGUUUGCUGUUUACUACUUCAAUAACCUGAUGUCCAUUGGCAAAUAAUUUUAUACUUGUUGUAUUUAAAAAAAAUGUUUUAAUGUUCUAAUAAAAUUAAAAAAUAAAUAAAUUUGUAGAUUUUUGAA